rnacentral:tRNA from 1 species
GCGGGUGUAGCUCAGUGGUAGAGCGUCACGUUGCCAACGUGACUGUCGACGGUUCGAAUCCGUUCACCCGCUCCA